rnacentral:rRNA from 1 species
ACAUCCAGAGAAUUUAGCAGAGAUGCUUUAGUGCCUUCGGGAACUCUGAGACAGGUGCUGCAUGGCUGUCGUCAGCUCGUGUUGUGAAAUGUUGGGUUAAGUCCCGNAACGAGCGCAACCCUUAUCCUUUGUUGCCAGCACGUAAUGGUGGGAACUCAAAGGAGACUGCCGGUGAUAAACCGGAGGAAGGUGGGGAUGACGUCAAGUCAUCAUGGCCCUUACGAGUAGGGCUACACACGUGCUACAAUGGCGCAUACAAAGAGAAGCGACCUCGCGAGAGCAAGCGGACCUCAUAAAGUGCGUCGUAGUCCGGAUUGGAGUCUGCAACUCGACUCCAUGGAAGUCGGAAUCGCUAGUAAUCGUAAAUCAGAAUGUUACGGUGAAUACGUUCCCGGGCCUUGUACACACCGCCCGUCACACCAUGGGAGUGGGUUGCAAAAGAAGUAGAUAGCUUAACCUUCGGGAGGGCGUUUACCACUUUGUGAUUCAUGACUGGGGUGAAGUCGUAACAAGGUAAGCGUAGUGCU